rnacentral:rRNA from 1 species
UUGAACUCAAGAGUUUGAUCCUGGCUCAGAUUGAACGCUGGCGGCAUGCUUUACACAUGCAAGUCGAACGGGCUUAGGUGCUUGCACCUAAGUUAGUGGCGAACGGGUGAGUAAUGCAUCGGAACGUACCGUGUAGUGGGGGAUAACCCGGCGAAAGUCGGAUUAAUACCGCAUACGAUCUAAGGAUGAAAGCAGGGGAU